rnacentral:rRNA from 1 species
GAUGAACGCUGGCGGCGUGCCUAAUACAUGUAAGUCGAGCGAACAGACGAGGAGCUUGCUCCUCUGACGUUAGCGGCGGACGGGUGAGUAACACGUGGAUAACCUACCUAUAAGACUGGGAUAACUUCGGGAAACCGGAGCUAAUACCGGAUAAUAUAUUGAACCGCAUGGUUCAAUAGUGAAAGACGGUUUUGCUGUCACUUAUAGAUGGAUCCGCGCCGCAUUAGCUAGUUGGUAAGGUAACGGCUUACCAAGGCGACGAUGCGUAGCCGACCUGAGAGGGUGAUCGGCCACACUGGAACUGAGACACGGUCCAGACUCCUACGGGAGGCAGCAGUAGGGAAUCUUCCGCAAUGGGCGAAAGCCUGACGGAGCAACGCCGCGUGAGUGAUGAAGGUCUUCGGAUCGUAAAACUCUGUUAUUAGGGAAGAACAAAUGUGUAAGUAACUAUGCACGUCUUGACGGUACCUAAUCAGAAAGCCACGGCUAACUACGUG